rnacentral:tRNA from 1 species
UGGCUGAGUGGUUAAGCGCUUGGCUUGCGACCCGAGGGGUCCCAGGUUAGAAUCCUGG